rnacentral:rRNA from 1 species
UACGGGGGGGGCAAGCGUUGUUCGGAAUUACUGGGCGUAAAGGGCUCGUAGGCGGCCAACUAAGUCAGACGUGAAAUCCCCGGGCUCAACCCGGGAACUGCGUCCGAUACUGGUGGGCUUGAAUCCGGGAGAGGGAUGCGGAAUUCCAGGUGUAGCGGUGAAAUGCGUAGAUAUCUGGAGGAACACCGGUGGCGAAGGCGGCAUCCUGGACCGGUAUUGACGCUGAGGCGCGAAAGCCAGGGGAGCAAACGGG